UAACCGGAUAUAUUUGACUACAG
rnacentral:miRNA from 1 species